GCUUAGCCCUGACAGGAGUGCAAAUCCUUUUGAAAAAAGAUUGCAACGGAUGGCAGGAAUAUGG
rnacentral:sRNA from 1 species